UUUUUUGCAAAAUGUUCAAUUUAUUUUAUUAAAUGUUCAAAAGUAUAUUCGUGGUGCACCUCAUGGUGCACAUAAUACUAAUUGAAAAUGUUUUUUUUUUUAUUAAAUUGGCACGUUUUUUGUGUAACUGGCGGACUGGCCCAUAUGAAACUUUAUAAUCGCCAAUAAUGUUAGCGGGUACCUUAAAAUUGAUAUUGAUUGGUAAGUAAACAAGGGAAACAUAAAUUAAAAAUUUAAAAUUGAUAGGACUUCAAAGCGUCCGAAACUCUGAAUGAACAUCCCGAAAAAAGUAGCCCGAUUGUCAUCAAGAUUCAAUCUCAAACCUUAAGCAAUGGAAGAAACUCAAAGUGGGUGUCCUAAUAUCGGAGCCCCAAUGUCGAAAAAUCGGAUCUUGGGCCGAAUCAGGCGGGCGGGUCCAAUUUAGGGGAGAAAUGAGUGAGCUAGGUUUGAAUGAGAGAGAAAGUGAGACAAGAGAGAGAUUUUGUGGAGUUAAGGAAGAUCGUGGUGUUGGAGAUGUUACAAGAUUGGAGGUGUUGCAGUUUCAGGAUAAAUUAUCUGAAGAACACUCAAAUUGCCAAGCUCAAAUGAAUGAGGAAAUACUCUGUGAUGUCAAGCAAUGCCUAUGCUGCUAGAUAGCUAUAUAUAUAACCGAAGAUUGCAACAAGAUGAAGACAGUUUCGCAGUAGUAUUGCUACUGUUGCAGCAAAGCAAUAAGUGGAUUUGAACAUUUCAAGUUUAUAGUUGAGUCAGGAACAUUUAAGAUGGUAUUCUAUAGAUCAUUCUUGUAUCUGUUUUGGGAAAUUUCACUCAGUUGAAAAUUCUCUGCUAUUCGAGGAGGGGGGAGGGAGGGUGUCAACUGUUUCCACAAGAAUUGCUUGUGCAGUGAAAAAGCAAAUUAGUGCCUGCCAAGUCCUAAGUCAGAUUCAAGCCCAGAUUUUUGCUGCAAAUGCCCAUCCUUGUCCUUGCUAUAAGAAGUUUAAUGCUAAGUUGAGUCUUACAUCCUAAUAUUCAAUUAUGGUACUUUUUUGUGGUACAGUUUUUUCAUGAAAGAUGUAUCUGUUUUACUGAGACAAAAUUUGUAGCUUCAAUGUUACUAAACACGAUACACAUCAACUGCAAUGAAUUCUUGGCUAAAUAUCAUUAUCAUAAUUUAUAUAUGUGGGGCAAAAUGAGUCAAGCAUUUUAUUUAGUGUAUCACAUGUGAAUGAUCUAUUUUUGUAUAUUGACAGGAUGGAAUUAAUAAUCAAAGCUUCGGCUUGGCUUGCCAAUACUACACUGCUAUCUUUGUAGAAAGAUGGCUCUGAGCAUUAUGGACAUGAAUGUUAGAGCACCAACUCAACCAAAAGCUUAAACUGAUGGUUGAGGCCCAGGAAUAUGUUUUAUACUCUAUCACUCCCCCUCACAUGAAAGGCCCUUUGGGCUUGAAAUGUGGAUGCAACACAGACCCACCCAUACCUGGUGCGAAUUAAUUCGACUUUGAAGGAGGAGCGGAUGAGAUUCGAACCCGUGACCUAUAUUCUUAAACUGAUGGUUGAAGCCCAGGAAUAUGUUUUAUAACGAAGGCUGGCAACAUUCACAAGGGGUUAACACUUAACAGAAUACUGAUAGAGAAAACGAGCAAUUGUCUACCUUGAGGUCAGGUGAGUUUCUUCUCCCAUUGGUUAAGAAAGUAGUCCGAUCUAGGUGAAUCCUUUUCAUAAAUUGAGCUUUCUAAUCAAUGUAGAAUCCUUUGGUGGGAAUUUGAUUAAAUUCGCCUGAAGUGAUUUAUAUGUUAUUUAUGUGCUUUAACACACUAGAUGAGUUAGCUACAUAUCAUCUUUAUUCUUUACAA